AGAGUUUGAUCCUGGCUCAGGAUGAACGCUGGCGGCAUGCCUAAUACAUGCAAGUCGAACGAGGAUCCUUUGGGAUCCUAGUGGCGAACGGGUGAGUAACACGUAGGGAACCUGCCCGCGCACCGGGAAUACGCUCUGGAAACGGAGAACAAAUCCCGAUGUACAGGAAGGAGGCAUCUUCUUUCUGUGAAACAUCCUGUAAGGGAUGGGGCGCGGAUGGACCUGCGGUGCAUUAGUUAGUUGGCGAGGGUAAAGGCCCACCAAGACGAUGAUGCAUAGCCGGCCUGAGAGGGCGGACGGCCACAUUGGGACUGAGACACGGCCCAGACUCCUGCGGGAGGCAGCAGUAGGGAAUUUUCGUCAAUGGGCGCAAGCCUGAACGAGCGAUGCCGCGUGAGUGAAGAAGGCCUUCGGGUCGUAAAGCUCUGUUGCGGGGGAAAAAAGCAUCUGCAGGAAAUGGUAGAUGACAGAUGGUGCCCCGCCAGAAAGUCACGGCUAACUACGUGCCAGCAGCCGCGGUAAUACGUAGGUGGCGAGCGUUAUCCGGAAUGAUUGGGCGUAAAGGGUGCGCAGGCGGUCC
rnacentral:rRNA from 1 species